rnacentral:rRNA from 1 species
UACGGGGGGGGCAAGCGUUGUUCGGAAUUACUGGGCGUAAAGGGCUCGUAGGUGGCCAACUAAGUCAGACGUGAAAUCCCUCGGCUUAACCGGGGAACUGCGUCUGAUACUGGAUGGCUUGAGUUUGGGAGAGGGACGCGGAAUUCCAGGUGUAGCGGUGAAAUGCGUAGAUAUCGGGAGGAACACCUAUGGCGAAGGCAGCUCGCUGGGACGUUACUGACGCUGAGACGCGAAAGCGUGGGGAGCAAACAGG